rnacentral:rRNA from 1 species
UACGUAGGGACCAAGCGUUUGUUCGGAUUUACUGGGCGUAAAGGGCGCGUAGGCGGCGUGGUAAGUCACUUGUGAAAUCUCUGAGCUUAACUCAGAACGGUCAAGUGAUACUGCUGUGCUAGAGUGCGGAAGGGGCAAUUCGGAAUUCUUGGUGUAGCGGUGAAAUGCGUAGAUAUCAAGCGGAACACCGGUGGCGAAGGCGGCCUUCUGGACAGUGACUGACGCUGAGACGCGAAAGCGUGGGGAGCAAACAGG